rnacentral:rRNA from 1 species
AUUGAACGCUGGCGGCAUGCCUUACACAUGCAAGUCGAACGGUAACGCGGGGCAACCUGGCGACGAGUGGCGAACGGGUGAGUAAUGCAUCGGAACGUGCCCAGUAGUGGGGGAUAGCCCGGCGAAAGCCGGAUUAAUACCGCAUACGACCUACGGGUGAAAGGGGGGGAUCGCAAGACCUCUCGCUAUUGGAGCGGCCGAUGUCAGAUUAGGUAGUUGGUGGGGUAAAGGCCUACCAAGCCGACGAUCUGUAGCUGGUCUGAGAGGACGAUCACACACCCGGUGACUGAGACACGGCCCAGAUGCGUACGGGAGGCAGCAGUGGGGAAGCUUGCGCAAUGGGCGAAAGCCUGACGCCGCGACGCCGGGUGGGGGAAGAAGGCCUUAGGGUUGUAAACCUCUUUCAGGCGGGACGAAGCCACUCGGGUGAAUAGCCCAGAGGGUGACGGUACCGCCAGAAGAAGCCCCGGCUAACUACGUGCCAGCCGCCGCAGUAAGAC